rnacentral:rRNA from 1 species
GUCUGCCUACGGGAGGCAGCAGUGGGGAAUAUUGCACAAUGGGGGAAACCCUGAUGCAGCGACGCCGCGUGAGUGAAGAAGUAUUUCGGUAUGUAAAGCUCUAUCAGCAGGGAAGAUAAUGACGGUACCUGACUAAGAAGCUCCGGCUAAAUACGUGCCAGCAGCCGCGGUAAUACGUAUGGGCAAGCGUUAUCCGGAUUUACUGGGUGUAAAGGGCGUGCAGCCGGGAAGACAAGUCAGAUGUGAAAUCCCGCGGCUCAACCGCGGAACUGCAUUUGAAACUGUUUUUCUUGAGUACCGGAGAG